rnacentral:rRNA from 1 species
AACGAACGCUGGCGGCAUGCCUAACACAUGCAAGUCGAACGAGACCUUCGGGUCUAGUGGCGCACGGGUGCGUAACGCGUGGGAACCUGCCCUUAGGUUCGGAAUAACUCCCCGAAAGGGGUGCUAAUACCGGAUAAUGUCUUCGGACCAAAGAUUUAUCGCCUUUGGAUGGGCCCGCGUUGGAUUAGCUGGUUGGUAGGGUAAAAGCCUACCAAGGCGACGAUCCAUAGCUGGUCUGAGAGGAUGAUCAGCCACACUGGGACUGAGACACGGCCCAGACUCCUACGGAAGGGAGCAGUGGGGAAUAUUGGACAAUGGGCGAAAGCCUAAUCAAGCCAUGCCGGGGGAGUGAUGAAGGCCUUAGGGUUGUAAAGCUCUUUUACCCGGGAUGAUAAUGACAGUACCGGGAGAAUAAGCUCCGGCUAACUCCGUG